AAGUCGUAACAAGGUUUCCGUAGGUGAACCUGCGGAAGGAUCAUUAACAAUCUAUUCCAAAACACGUCUUCUUGGAGGCACUGGAGGGAAUGGUGCGCUUACACGCGCUACCUUCUGGUCCUCCGAGAAUGUACACCACAUCUUACACUUACAUUACAACAACAACCAAGGAACAUAACCUAAAGUUAAUAACUAUAAAAACAACUUUUAACAAUGGAUCUCUUGGCUCUU
rnacentral:misc_RNA from 1 species